UUCGGCAUUGAAUGCGGGUGGUUCAUGUUAAUAUUCGAACACAACAAAAAUAUCGCAACGCUUUGAAAUAUUUUUAAACUAAAACUGUUUUUUACAAGUUUUUUUUACGAUUUUUGUCGUCAUUUUAAAAGCCAAGUAAAAUUUACAACAGAAUUUGUAAAUGUUUUUCUUAGACGUAGUAGUAGUUGUUGUGUGUGUAUGUGAUCUUUUUUACUACCCAAAUAAAUCUGUAUUUUGUUACUUUUAAUGUUUGUGUGCCAAAAACAAAAAAAAAUUCAAUAAACAUUUUGUAUUAAUGGCUCUCUUUUGAAUCAAUGAUGAUUAUAAUUACGAGUCUUACAAGUGAAAUCUAAUUAUAAAAAAACACAUAAAUAUUUUAUGUGUGAAGUGGCAAAUAAACAAAUCUUUACAGAAAAUUCAAUUAAAAACAUAAAAAAAAUAUUUAUAAGGAAAUAUAAACAACUUAAUAAGGAUAAAUGGAUUUUUGUAACAUCAAACGGAAAUCAUUAAAAGUAAAUUAAAAG